rnacentral:lncRNA from 1 species
UGGGCCCAGCUCGGACUGGUCCGCCGGGCCCAAGGGCUCUGGUGCCUUCUGGAAAGCGCUGGCUGGGACUUCACCCUCCUCCUGCAUGUGACGGACACAGCACUGAUCCUGGCAGCUCCUUACCCCCAGCAGCCCGAAACUCACUCCUUAAUUACACAAGGGAAACCUUUUACCUCCGCAGCCAGAGUCUGGGGGGAAAGGCAGGCGUGGGAAGAUGGGUUCUCUACCUGGCCAGUGCCAUGUUGCCUGUUUCUUUACUGUAACUGUGGUGACAAAGAAAAGGGAAGAUGGAGCCUCCAUGUUGAACAUACCUGGCCCCCAGCACUAACUCCCUCUCUGGAUAUCUGGAACAAGGAGGACCUUAAACUUAACAAUAAAGCCAAUGAUGGUUCUACCAGUCUCCCCAAAGCCUCAAGUUUAAAAGCCAUAUGAACUGGCUGAUAGUGGAAAAUGGAAGCCAUGAGGAAAUCAGAUUAGAGUACUACCUGGUGAAGCCUGGAGGACCUACCAAGAAAAGCAAACUUGGAUCUUUGCAAGGUUAGAAGAACGAAUGGGAUCCAAGAAAAAGACUGGUCAUAUUCAACGGCUAAGAGCGUUGGAGAAGGCCUGUGGAGUCUCAGCAGGUCAGGUCCAUGACUCAUGAGUAGACACCUGUGUUUCUACUGCCUGGUGCCAUAAUCAUAAACAAGAGUAAUCAGCAAAUGCCUUUCCUUUCUCCUGCUGAUGUUUUGCCCGUACUCAGACCCCUUGACUUCUUAGCUUCUACCCAAAGUGAGCUUGUCAUCAAAGUUCUCCAAAAAUCUGCAGUGUUCUCUUGAGCAAAUCUGCUUCCAAGACUAUAGCGCUCUGAUGCAUUGAGAUGACAGCAAGCGGCAUUUUUCAGUCCUGUUACCCAUAUGGCUGCUACCACUGCAUCCUGUUAAAUAAUGUCUUCAACCCAAGAAACCUGCUUCCUAGGGAAGUUUCUCUCUCUCUGCAUUUGUUCCCACUAGAGAAUGACCAUCACCAGAUUCCUGAACUGAAAAUGCUGUUGACACUUUGGAAACUCGGGCCUCUAUUAAUAGGGUGACCAACUAUCCUGGUUUACCUUGAGUACAGGAUUUUCAAUGCUAAAACCAGAAAAACCAGGAUGGUUGGUCAUCUGCCUCAGACCUAAUAAAUACCAGUCAAUAAUUCAGCCAUGAGCUUUCUUAAGACACUGUCUUUUCUUGACUGUUGAAUAGUCUAGGACUUGAGUAGCAGCUCUUUCUGCUACUGGACACUUGUUUUACUACCCUAUUUCUCUAGAUUUUAUUUUGUGGCUAAUAAUUAAGACAUAAAAUCAUGGGUUCUGGUUAUGCCAAAGCACUCACUCUUCAAAAGUUUCCAUCCAGAGUUGGAUAAUCCCACACAGAAGGUGUUCUUUCAACAGACCAGCAUCCAAUAGACCCAAUGCAGCAUUUUUCUUCCUGGUUCCACAUUAAUACAUCCUAUCUCUGCUAUGCUUAGGUCCCUGAUUUAUAAAUAUUUCAGACAUAUUUUCUCAGGACACAGGGAGUACUUAAACUUCCACAUAGCAGAGAUACGACAUACAAUAAGCUGUUAUCUGGAAACUCCUAGUGAUGCUUUGAGUACUUUACAGUAAUCUUUCUGGUCUUCCUCUCAACCCCAUUAAGUUUUUCUGUAACUAGCUGGUGUAUCUGUCUCCAUCUUUAAGGAAUAAGUCCCUAUUUGCUCAUGCUAUAAUCUCCCUCAUGCUCUCCGUCCCUCCUUCCCUCUCCUUCUCUCUUUCUGUCUCUCUCUCUCUCCACCCUGAUUGUGAGAUGCUACACCUUAAUAGUUUUCUAUACCUAGAUCCCUUUUGAAGGAGUAAUUUCAGCCAUCACUGAAAUCUAUGCUUUUUUAUCUUGUUAGAUUUAUUUAGGACCUAAUGACUGUUUCUGAGCUAAUAAUAACGCAAUCAGCUCAUAUUUUUCUGAUACUCUAAGAGCAAUUACAUCUAGUUGCAUCACCUUUUCCUUUUUUAUUCAUGUAUCUUAGGCUUCUCAAGAUAUGAGACUAGCACUUGAGCCUGAGAUAAGCCUUAAGAAUUCCAGGAUAGUCUCUCCAUAGUUCCCUUUCUUGGAUAAAGUCAUUUCAAAACAUCUUAGUGGAUCAGAUUUGGAGCAGCCUACUUACACUGGUGAAUACCACAACUAAUAAAUAAUUGUUCUGCACCCCACCCACAUCUAAAGGAUUCAGGGUGUCUUUUACAGAUAUAGGACUCUCCUUUCUCUGUUUCUCUUCUCUCUCUUCUCCUUGAUUAAAGCUUUGCUUCAGCUGUCCCUGCUCACUACGGCACUGCACCUCACCAGCAUCUUCAUGGCCCUCACAUGGCUCAUGUGCAUAUCCUAACUCUGAUACUAAGGGAGGAGACCACCCCUCAUAUUGUCUUAUGCCCAAUUUCUGCCUCCAAAGAAAGAAGAAGUAAAAACUAAAAGGCAGAAAUGAAAUCCACAAGCAGACAGCCCGGCGCCACACCCUGGGCCUGGUAGUUAAAGAUCGACCCCUGACCUAAUCGGUUAUUUGCAUAAGAAAAGCACUGUGAAGAUCCCUGUCCUGUUCUGUUCCAUUCUAAUUACCGGUGUAUGCAGCCCCCAGUCAUGUACCCCUGCUUGCUCAAUCGAUCACGACCCUCUCACGUGGACCCCCUUAGAGUUGUGGGCCCUUAAAAGGGACAGGAAUUGCUCACUCGGGGAGCUUGGUUGUUGGAGAUGUGAGUCUUGCUAAAGCUCCCAGCCGAAUAAAGCCCUUCCUUCUUAA